GGGCCCGCACAAGCGGUGGAGUAUGUGGUUUAAUUCGAUGCAACGCGAAGAACCUUACCAGGGUUUAAAUGCAGAACGACAGGGGUGGAAACACCCCCUUCUUCGGACGGACUGCAAGGUGCUGCAUGGUUGUCGUCAGCUCGUGCUGUGAAGUGUCGGGUUAAGUCCCAUAACGAGCGCAACCCCCAUUUCUAGUUGCCAGCGGUUCGGCCGGGGACUCUAGAGAAACUGCCAGCGUAAGCUGUGAGGAAGGUGGGGAUGACGUCAAAUCAUCACGGCCCUUACAUCCUGGGCCACACACGUGCUACAAUGGUAGGGACAACAGGUUGCCAACCCGCGAGGGUGAGCC
rnacentral:rRNA from 1 species